rnacentral:lncRNA from 1 species
AUGAGAUGCAAAAGCUCCUCUGCUCACGGGGGCCCCCACCUCCGGAGACUCCCCUGCUCACGGGACCCCCCACCUCCGGAGACUCCUCUGCUCACGGGGUCCCCCACCUCCGGAGACUCCUCUGCUCACAGGACCCCCCACCUCCGGAGACUCCUCUGCUUCCGGGACCCCCCACCUCCGGAGACUCCUCUGCUUCUGGGUUCCCCCACCUCCAGAGACUCCUCUGCUCACGGGACCCCCCACCUCCGGAGACUCCUCUGCUUCCGGGUCUCCCCCACCUCCAGAGACUCCUCUGCUCACGGGGCCCCCCACCUCCGGAGACUCCUCUGCUUCCGGGUCUCCCCACCUCCAGAGACUCCUCUGCUCACGGGGCCCCCACCUCCAGAGACUCCUCUGCUCACGGGACCCCCCACCUCCGGAGACUCCUCUGCUUCCGGGUCUCCCCCGCCUUCCUUCCCCAGUCUGGUUGAAGGGGAUAUUUCUUUUCUGGGAAAGCAUGACACAGAUGCCACCACCCCGCUCCUCACUCACUUCACACACUCGGGGAAGAAGACUCAGCGCGGGAGGGGUCAGGGCCCCCCGAGGCCAGUCCCACAGCCAGCCCCCUCGCUCUGUGACCCUGGAUCCUCCGGUCAGGACCCUGCCCCAGCGGCUGACUCCGAGGUGGCUGGGGCUGUUCAUCUCAUCUUGCGUAUUCAGUUAAAUGAAAACGGAACACGUGGACGGGCGGGCAGGAGGGAAGGCGCUGCCGCCUCGCUGCCACCCUCAGCCCCUGCCUCAGACAGAGCUGCGGUUGGGUCAGGAGGGGCCCCUGACAUCAAGACCCCACUCCCAGCCCCACGGGCUAAGCUUCUCAGCACACCCACGACCUGCCAGGAGGGAAGCAGCCCUACAGUAAGGAAGACGCUCACGUGCCCAUUUCACAGACGGGAAAACAGAGGCUCUAAGGAGACUCUCAGAGGCCCAUGUGCGGACUGGCUGGAGCAGGCUGGCUGCACAGCCCCCACCAUGCACCCCUCUCCCACUGCAGGGGGUCCUGGGGCAUCCCAUGCGGCCUCCUUCAGAAAUUCCCUGUCCAGAAUAGGGCUGGGAGCCCAGCAGGGCCCCGGGGGCGAGUAG